ACCCAACCGAAAGGAGGGAGCUGCCGAAGGUGGGACCGAUAACUGGGGUGAAGUCGUAACAAGGUAGCCGUAUCGGAAGGUGCGGCUGGAUCACCUCCUUUCUAAGGAA
rnacentral:rRNA from 1 species